GCAGCGGGUAGCUACCAUGCAGCCGAGCGGUAGAGAUUCUUCGGAAUCUUGAGAGCGGCGUACGGGUGCGGAACACGUGUGCAACCUGCCUUUAUCAAGGGGAUAGCCUUUCGAAAGGAAGAUUAAUACCCUAUAAUAUAUGAUUCGGCAUCGGAUUAUAUUGAAAACUACGGUGGAUAAAGAUGGGCACGCGCAAGAUUAGCUAGUUGGUGAGGUAACGGCUCACCAAGGCGACGAUCUUUAGGGGGCCUGAGAGGGUGAUCCCCCACACUGGUACUGAGACACGGACCAGACUCCUACGGGAGGCAGCAGUGAGGAAUAUUGGACAAUGGGUGGAAGCCUGAUCCAGCCAUCCCGCGUGUAGGAAGACGGCCCUAUGGGUUGUAAACUACUUUUAUCUGGGGAUAAACCUACUUACGUGUAAGUAGCUGAAGGUACCAGAUGAAUAAGCACCGGCUAACUCCGUGCCAGAC
rnacentral:rRNA from 1 species